GGGGACGGGGCUCAGGGGUAGAGCACUCACCAAACAUGUGUGAGGCCUGGGUUCGAUCCCCAUCACCG
rnacentral:tRNA from 1 species